CGUCUGUAGGGGUUUUGUCAAGUUCCAAGUAAAAUCUUAAGGCCCAACUUUAAGUUCGCUUGGAAAACUGAUAAACUGGAGCAUAGCAGAGGCGCAUGGAACUUGUGGUGUAGGAGUGAAAUCCGUUGAUAUCACAAGGAACACCAAAGGCGAAGGCAUUGCGCUGGGCUAUCGCUGACCCUGAGAGACGAAAGCGUGGGGAGCAAAACGGAUUAGAUACCCGUGUAGUCCACGCCGUAAACGAUGAAUGCUAGACAUUCGGGGAUUCGACCCCUUGAGUGUUACAGCUAACGCGUUAAGCAUUCCGCCUGGGAAGUACGGCCGCAAGGCUAAAACUCAAAGGAAUAGACGGGGAUCCGCACAAGCGGUGGAGCGUCUGGUUUAAUUCGAUAAUAAGCGUGGAACCUCACCAGGGUUUGACAUCCCACGACAGCCUUAGAAAUAAGGUUUCCUUCGGGCGUGGUGACAGGUGCUGCAUGGUCGUCGUCAGUUCGUGCCGUGAGGUGUUCCGUUAAGUCGGGAAACGAACGAAACCCUCGUCGUAUGUUAUAUAUUCUCAUACGAGACUGCCCGGGUUAACUGGGAGGAAGGCGAGGAUGACGUCAGAUCUGCAUGGUCCUUAUGUCCUGGGCGACACAGGCGCUACAAUGGCUAAUACAAAGGGUUGCAAUACCGCAAGGUGAAGCUAAUCCCAUAAAGUUAGUCUCAGUUCGGAUUGAAGGGUGCAAUUCGCCUUCAUGAAGCUGGAAUCGCUAGUAAUCGUGAAUCAGCCACGUCACGGUGAUACGUUCCCGGAUCUUGUACU
rnacentral:rRNA from 1 species